CCGGAGAACCGGGGACAAAUUAAGCUCUUUAAUCAUCCCCAUGUUCGCUAUUAGGCUAGUAAAACGUCAGCAUUGUACCACUUUCGGAGUGGGAUUGCGGUCCGGAUCCAUGGCGAUCGGAUCCAGUUUAUUUCUCGCGAUUUUAUCUGAUCCUCCGUAAAGACGCCGCUCCUUCCUCCAAACCGCUGAAAUCCUCAUUCCUGCCUGAGCUUUGAAAAACACAGCAAAACGACUCUGCUUGGCGGCCUGCCGUCAUCCUGCUGGAAGUUGUAGGCCUCUAGACGGUGGAGGACAGCCUCCCGUACUGGGCAGGAGCACCGUGCCGUGAAUACACUCAGACACCGAGACGCUGGCUGGUUUAGCUUGAUUGUUCGUUCAUUAUCACGCAGCUGGGAUUCUUCAGCAAACGACAAUACUGAUGACCUAGUAAUGUCGAUCCCUCUGGCUCUGGAACGCGGACAGGAAUACGAUUCGGGUUGUGGGAUCCACAGCUCUCUGACCACAGUGGGUUUAUGUCACUGGGUAUGUCACCAAUGAUGACCAUUCCCAGC